rnacentral:lncRNA from 1 species
GACUUUUCAGUGUUGUACAGCUUAUAAGAUUUCAGAAUACAGAAUUUAGCUUUUCAGUUUAAAGAAUAAAGAUUUAGCUUAAAGUACUGUGAAUGAUAUUUUUAUCAUAAACCAGUUUUUAGAAUGUUAGCAUAAAUGGAAAAAGUAUUUUAUUUACAAAAUUAUCCACUCACUGAGUCAUAGGCUCACAUUUUUUUUACAAUUUCUCUUAUCAAAUAGUAGCUGAGUUGAGCACUACUGGGCCAGCUGAUCUAUCGAGUUGAACUAUAAAUUGUCAAGCAUUGUAUGACUCAUCUUAUCA